rnacentral:rRNA from 1 species
GCCAGCAGCCGCGGUAAUUCCAGCUCCAAUAGCGUAUAUUAAAAUUGUUGCAGUUAAAAAGCUCGUAGUUGAAUUUCUGCUAAAAAUAACCGGUCUGCUUUUAAUAAAGGUGGUAUCUUGGUGUGUUUUUAGCAAUAAUGUCCUUUGAAAUGUUUUUUACUUCAUUGUAAUAAAUUAUAUUUAGGAUUUUUACUUUGAGAAAAUUAGAGUGUUUCUAGCAGGCUAA